rnacentral:rRNA from 1 species
AGUGAACGCUGGCGGUAGGCCUAACACGUGCAAGUCGAACGGCAGCACAGUAAGAGCUUGCUCUUACGGGUGGCGAGUGGCGGACGGGUGAGGAAUACAUCGGAAUCUACUUUUUCGUGGGGGAUAACGUAGGGAAACUGACGCUAAUACCGCAUACGACCUACGGGUGAAAGCAGGGGAUCUUCGGACCUUGCGCGAUUGAAUGAGCCGAUGUCGGAUUAGCUAGUUGGCGGGGUAAAGGCCCACCAAGGCGACGAUCCGUAGCUGGUCUGAGAGGAUGAUCAGCCACACUGGAACUGAGACACGGUCCAGACUCCUACGGGAGGCAGCAGUGGGGAAUAUUGGACAAUGGGCGCAAGCCUGAUCCAGCCAUACCGCGUGGGUGAAGAAGGCCUUCGGGUUGUAAAGCCCUUUUGUUGGGAAAGAAAAGCAGCAGGUUAAUACCCCGCUGUUCUGACGGUACCCAAAGAAUAAGCACCGGCUAACUUCGUG